rnacentral:tRNA from 1 species
GUAGUUAUAGUUUAGUAAAAACAUUAGAUUGUGAGUCUAAUAACAGAAGCUCGUAACUUCUUAACUACC